UCUCAUAAAGAGGCGUUACAGCAUACAACAGUUUUUGACAGAUGUGACGAUCAGUUUUUGACUGAUGUGAUUCAGCCGGAAAACGCGGACUAAAGGCUCUUUUCCACUGUGGAAAAGAGCCUUUACUGCUUUAGUCCGCGUUUUCCGGCUGAUUCCACUUAUCGCAAAACCGACUCACCAGCCCGCUGCGAGUACUUGCAUCUAAUUAAAAUAAACUGUCGAGCAUUGUAAUUGGAUGUAAGUACUGGCAGCGAGCUCGCAAGUUGGUACUUGCGAUGAGUGGAAAAUGUCAACUGGUCAUAACUAUUUUCUCUUCAGAUACAAGCGAAUUAAUGUUACAGUAUUCUGCCGCAUACGACAGCUUUUAGCUGAGCUAGGCGACGUCUGUCUCUUUCUUAAAUUCUGUUGAGCGUAUCAUAAAUACCGGGAUGGUCUGGCCAUAAUUCAGCCAAAUUUUCUUCUGCUAUCAUUUUGUUCAAUACAAUUCUUCUUCCCGCUAUUUCAUGCGCAAGAUGGCGCAUCACGUGGGAAGUAUAUGCGCCACAACAUCCGCACAGGAUGCGAUUCGUGCCUCGCGUGAAUAAAAUAAAACAUGAUAGUCAGAAUUUUCCUUGCGUGUCAGGUUCCACAGCAAAAACCGUGCGCACGCGAGAUCCUUUAGCUAUAAUAGUCUAGGACCUGUAUAGGAGUUUGUAUGCGUUUCAUUUAGCACAGGUAAUCUCAACUGUUUUAGGGUAAAAUGAUCAAGGCGGUCAACAUGGCAUAUGUGCCAAAACCUGAAUCCGGGACGAAAGUCCUGAAAAUGACCCCGCCCUGAAACGGCAGUGCCGACAUUGCUCUAACUUCCGAAAAGCAAAAGCGAUAGCCUUUCUCACGUUCUCAUAGUGUUUAGAAGGGUUGCUUUUAUAGGGGUGGUUAUUGGAAGGAAAAAUUUGUCUAAGUAUAAUAUUUUACAAGAAAAUGACCAUGCA